CACAUGUCCAGGUGAAUGCUGCUGAUAGACAAAAACGGACUUUCGUAAGUCUGUAGUUUCUGAAAGAAGAGCUCUUAUGUUGGUAUCAGAGACAAUUAUUGACAGGCUGUUUCUUUAACCUAAUGAAAGGAAUGUUGAAGCCACACUCUCUAAGAGUCUUCAAUAACAAACUGUGGAGCAAGACCGUUUCAGUAAGACACCAGUGCCGACUCAUUUCAAGUUGCAAGUGUGCAAAGUCUUUUGCAAACCUGUUGAUAGUACAGUACAUCAUGAGUUACAUUGAAUGAUCACAUUUUCUGCGAACAGACCCUAAGUGUAUGGUAUUUCUGAACAAAACAGUCGAGCUCUGAAAGUAUUGUUGGCAACAUGAUAUUCA